GUGAGGAAUAUUGGUCAAUGGACGCGAGUCUGAACCAGCCAAGUAGCGUGAAGGAUGACUGCCCUAUGGGUUGUAAACUUCUUUUAUAAGGGAAUAAAGUGAGGGACGUGUCCCUUUUUGUAUGUACCUUAUGAAUAAGGAUCGGCUAACUCCGUGCCAGCAGCCGCGGUAAUACGGAGGAUCCGAGCGUUAUCCGGAUUUAUUGGGUUUAAAGGGAGCGUAGGUUGACGUAUAAGUCAGCUGUGAAAGUUUACGGCUCAACCGUGAAAUUGCAGUUGAUACUGUAUGUCUUGAGUGUAACAGAGGUGGGCAGAAUUCGUGGUGUAGCGGUGAAAUGCUUAGAUAUCACGAAGAACUCCAAUUGCGAAGGCAGCUCACUGGGGUACAACUGACACUGAGGCUCGAAAGUGUGGGUAUCAAACAGGAUUAGAAACCCUGGUAGUCC
rnacentral:rRNA from 1 species